rnacentral:rRNA from 1 species
GACGAACGCUGGCGGCGUGCUUAACACAUGCAAGUCGAACGAUGAAGCCCAGCUUGCUGGGUGGAUUAGUGGCGAACGGGUGAGUAACACGUGAGUAACCUGCCCUGGACUCUGGGAUAAGCGUUGGAAACGACGUCUAAUACCGGCUAGGACCCUGUACCGCAUGGUGUGGGGUGGCAAGUUUUUUCGGUCUGGGAUGGACUCGCGGCCUAUCAGCUUGUUGGUGAGGUAAUGGCUCACCAAGGCGGCGACGGGUAGCCGGCCUGAGAGGGGGACCGGCCACACUGGGACUGAGACACGGCCCAGACUCCUACGGGAGGCAGCAGUGGGGAAUAUUGCACAAUGGGCGCAAGCCUGAUGCAGCAACGCCGCGUGCGGGAUGACGGCCUUCGGGUUGUAAACCGCUUUUAGUAAGGAAGAAGGGGAGCUUGCUCCUUGACGGCACUUGCAGAAAAAGGACCGGCUAACUACGUGCCAGCCGCCGCCGUAACAC